CCUACGGGAGGCAGCAGUGAGGAAUAUUGGUCAAUGGACGAGAGUCUGAACCAGCCAAGUAGCGUGAAGGAUGACUGCCCUAUGGGUUGUAAACUUCUUUUACAUGGGAAUAAAAUGUUCCACGUGUGGGAUUUUGUAUGUACCAUAUGAAUAAGGAUCGGCUAACUCCGUGCCAGCAGCCGCGGUAAUACGGAGGAUCCGAGCGUUAUCCGGAUUUAUUGGGUUUAAAGGGAGCGUAGGUGGAUUGUUAAGUCAGUUGUGAAAGUUUGCGGCUCAACCGUAAAAUUGCAGUUGAAACUGGCAGUCGUGAGUACAGUAGAGGUGGGCGGAAUUCGUGGUGUAGCGGUGAAAUGCUUAGAUAUCACGAAAAACUCCGAUUGCGAAGGCAGCUCACUGGACUGCAACUGACACUGAGGCUCGAAAGUGUGGGUAUCAAACAGGAUUAGAUACCCCAGUAGUC
rnacentral:rRNA from 1 species